UCCACAGGGAUGUUUGAAACCAAUGAUA
rnacentral:piRNA from 1 species